rnacentral:misc_RNA from 1 species
GUGAAUCAUCGAAUCUUUGAACGCAACUUGCGCUCCUGGGUAUUCCUGGGAGCAUGCCUGUUUCAGUAUCGUAUAACCAAAAUAUUCAUUCGAAAGUUUGAACAGCUCUUUAAAAAGCUCUUGAGCGACCUGAUGCUUUAUGUAUCAGCUGCUUUAAAUUUAAAAUCUAAGACUUUUUCUUUGGAUAAAGGCUCUGGUGUAAUAUGAAACUUGUUUCAAAUCAACACCUCUAUCUUUAUCUACCAGACGAGUCGCUAAUAAAUUCAUGAUCUGAAAUCAGGCAAGAUUACCCGCUGAACU